ACUUAAAUUGAAGAGUUUGAUCAUGGCUCAGAUUGAACGCUGGCGGCAGGCCUAACACAUGCAAGUCGAGCGGUAGCACAGAGAGCUUGCUCUCGGGUGACGAGCGGCGGACGGGUGAGUAAUGUCUGGGAAACUGCCUGAUGGAGGGGGAUAACUACUGGAAACGGUAGCUAAUACCGCAUAAUGUCGCAAGACCAAAGUGGGGGACCUUCGGGCCUCAUGCCAUCAGAUGUGCCCAGAUGGGAUUAGCUUGUAGGUGGGGUAACGGCUCACCUAGGCGACGAUCCCUAGCUGGUCUGAGAGGAUGACCAGCCACACUGGAACUGAGACACGGUCCAGACUCCUACGGGAGGCAGCAGUGGGGAAUAUUGCACAAUGGGCGCAAGCCUGAUGCAGCCAUGCCGCGUGUGUGAAGAAGGCCUUCGGGUUGUAAAGCACUUUCAGCGGGGAGGAAGGCGGUGAGGUUAAUAACCUCAUCGAUUGACGUUACCCGCAGAAGAAGCACCGGCUAACUCCGUGCCAGCAGCCGCGGUAAUACGGAGGGUGCAAGCGUUAAUCGGAAUUACUGGGCGUAAAGCGCACGCAGGCGGUCUGUCAAGUCGGAUGUGAAAUCCCCGGGCUCAACCUGGGAACUGCAUUCGAAACUGGCAGGCUAGAGUCUUGUAGAGGGGGGUAGAAUUCCAGGUGUAGCGGUGAAAUGCGUAGAGAUCUGGAGGAAUACCGGUGGCGAAGGCGGCCCCCUGGACAAAGACUGACGCUCAGGUGCGAAAGCGUGGGGAGCAAACAGGAUUAGAUACCCUGGUAGUCCACGCCGUAAACGAUGUCGAUUUGGAGGUUGUGCCCUUGAGGCGUGGCUUACGGAGCUAACGCGUUAAAUCGACCGCCUGGGGAGUACGGCCGCAAGGUUAAAACUCAAAUGAAUUGACGGGGGCCCGCACAAGCGGUGGAGCAUGUGGUUUAAUUCGAUGCAACGCGAAGAACCUUACCUGGUCUUGACAUCCACAGAACUUAGCAGAGAUGCUUUGGUGCCUUCGGGAACUGUGAGACAGGUGCUGCAUGGCUGUCGUCAGCUCGUGUUGUGAAAUGUUGGGUUAAGUCCCGCAACGAGCGCAACCCUUAUCCUUUGUUGCCAGCGGUCCGGCCGGGAACUCAAAGGAGACUGCCAGUGAUAAACUGGAGGAAGGUGGGGAUGACGUCAAGUCAUCAUGGCCCUUACGACCAGGGCUACACACGUGCUACAAUGGCAUAUACAAAGAGAAGCGACCUCGCGAGAGCAAGCGGACCUCAUAAAGUAUGUCGUAGUCCGGAUUGGAGUCUGCAACUCGACUCCAUGAAGUCGGAAUCGCUAGUAAUCGUAGAUCAGAAUGCUACGGUGAAUACGUUCCCGGGCCUUGUACACACCGCCCGUCACACCAUGGGAGUGGGUUGCAAAAGAAGUAGGUAGCUUAACCUUCGGGAGGGCGCUUACCACUUUGUGAUUCAUGACUGGGGUGAAGUCGUAACAAGGUAACCGUAGGGGAACCUGCGGUUGGAUCACCUCCUUACCUUAAAGAA
rnacentral:rRNA from 1 species